rnacentral:tRNA from 1 species
GGGCGCUUAGCUCAGCUGGUUAGAGCGCCGCUCUGAUAAGGCGGAGGUCCCAGGUUCGAGUCCUGGAGCGCCCAUCA